GGAGGGAUAGCGAAGUGGCUAAACGCGGCGGACUGUAAAUCCGCUCUCUACGAGUUCGAAGGUUCGAAUCCUUCUCCCUCCACCA
rnacentral:tRNA from 1 species